CCUACGGGUGGCAGCAGUGGGGAAUAUUGCGCAAUGGGCGAAAGCCUGACGCAGCGACGCCGCGUGAGGGAUGAAGGUCUUCGGAUCGUAAAGCACUGUCAGCAGGGAAGAAGGGGCAAUGUGCUAAUCAGCAGGGAAUUGACGGUACCUGCAAAGGAAGCACCGGCUAACUCCGUGCCAGCAGCCGCGGUAAUACGGAGGGUGCAAGCGUUAAUCGGAAUUACUGGGCGUAAAGCGCUCGUAGGCGGUAUGUCAAGUCAAGGGUGAAAUCCCCGCGCUCAACGUGGGAACUGCCUUUGAAACUGGCCAACUGGAGUGUGGUAGAGGGUAGUGGAAUUCCAUGUGUAGGAGUGAAAUCCGUAGAUAUGUGGAGGAACAUCAGUGGCGAAGGCGACUAUCUGGCAAAUGACUGACGCUGAGGAGCGAAAGCGUGGGUAGCAAACAGGAUUAGAUACCCGUGUAGUC
rnacentral:rRNA from 1 species